UGGCUUCUCCGUGCAGAAGAACAGGC
rnacentral:piRNA from 1 species